AAUGAUAAUAUUGUGUCCAAAUUUGUAUUUUACCAAGAGGAAUUUUAAUGAAUAAAUCGAUAAUUUUGAGCAAUAUUGCAGAAGUAGUAAUGUGGAAUUAUCGAAUUAGGAAGUCUUAAUAUGAAUAUUAUGAUUUAAUUCUCCCAAAGUACCUAUGAUAUUCAAAAAUUACAAAUUAUCCUGUGGCGACCGUAACUCCGGUUCAAAAACCCGAUUUUUUGCCCCGUAUCACGUGGUCUCCGAUUGUUCAUCUUUGUCAAACUAGUGCAAUGCGUAUUAGCUCUAUUUCUCUCUAAUGCGCGUUUCCAUUCCUAACACCGAAAUAGAAGCAUAGACUCCUUCCAUGUAUUAUUAGUUCAAUGUACCGAACGCAGUAAAAAACUUCGUUAAUCUAUGGAAUAGGUUUUCUAUGCUCUAUGCACCUUAACCUGAUUAAAUUAAAAACGACUCCGUUUAUUAUUUUUGAGGAAUUUAGGAUUUAGGUGAUGAUAUUCAGGAAAAUUUUGGUUUCGUUUUUUUUUUGGGAUAAUUGGACUCGUUCAUAAUGAAAUGGUUUAUUAAGUAUUAAUCAAAAAAAAUAAACCUCAGAAAACAAUAUUGGGUUCCAGAAUUAGCAACUUCACAAACACUGUGAUUGAUGUUAAGCAUAUAUAUAUUUCAGGAAGAUUCAACUUCACCUUGAAGAAAUGUUGCAAUAUCCACCUGUACGUUCUCAGAAAUGUUCAACUCGAUGUUAUUUAAGAUUCACCAAUUUGACAGAGAGAAGUAUUAAUGUAGUGUGGGUUAACUUCAGUGGACAAUAUGUUUCCUAUAAGAUAUUACAUCGAGGACAGUUUGUUGAUGUCAACACCUUCAAAACUCAUCCAUGGAUAGCGAUAGAUAAUAAUACCAAAGAUAAAAUGCAUUUAAAUAAGAAUUUUGUAUAUGAUCCCCAAACUUUUAGAGAACAUUUUACUGCAAAUUUUCCUCAAUACAGACUUCGAGAGGGAGUUGAAAGUAGAAUUAUUGUUGCGAUAACACUUCCUAUGAAUAGCUUAAAGUACACAGUUUUAUUAUAUCUCAAAAAUUAUUUCAAAGAUACACAUCCUGUUGAUAAGUUAGAUUUACCCAAUUUUUUAGCAGAUGCCCUUAAAGCUCAUAUACUGGAAAGAAAUAAUUUGAAUACAUUACCUUUAUUUAGGGUGCCUAGUUCAAAUCCAUCCGUUUCUGGUAAUAAUAGAUGAGUAUAUCAUUAAAAUUUAUCAAACUAAUUAUUCGAAAAAUGUCAUACUGUUGAAAGUGCCUUACUGAAAAAUUCUACUAAGGAAAUAUCAAAAAGCAUAUUCAAGAAAAUUCAGUCUUUGGCAAUACUAAGGAUAUUGAACUUAACAUUUAUAUUUCUUUAAAUUAUGAUUUCACUCGCAACAUUUGUAUAUACAUAUAUAUAUAUAUAUCUCUUAUACUUAUAUCGCUAUUUAUAAAUUAUAUGUGAUUGCUGGAUUAUUAAUGCUAAGCUCCUAAAAAUAAAUUUUAAUAUUUUAUGGCAAAAAAUUUUGAAAUUCAAUUCAUGUUCAAGAGAAUAGGAUCCCAAUAGGAUUUUACAAUGAAAAUUUGAAUAUACGAGGUCAAUUGAAGAAGAAGAAAUUGUUUUUAUACCAAACAAUAUCUAUACCAUUAUGUCGUUAUACCGAUUGCUUUAUAAUUUCGUCACAAUGUGCAAAUUUUUAAUUUUGAGCCGACAAUAGUCAUAAACGAUAAGGCUUGGCUUACUGAUGAUGAAUCCAUUCUCAAAUUCUAUUCUGUUUCUGUUCUCAAACAGAAAAUCCUAAAAUCUUGAAAUUUUUUACCCCGCAGGUUUGGAUUUCGAAUAUCAAGAGUUCGUUAAUGGGCAUAAUCCCAUCGUAUUUCUGUAGUGAGAGAUAAUUCUUUUUUAUUAUGGAAGGCUUCAAACUUCCGAUUAUAAUGUAUAUUGGGUGUUAAAAAAGGGUUUAAUAUUUUGGGAGCUAAUUCUAGUCCUCAAAAUAAGUAAAAAGUUUAUAACAUGGGUUCGCAAAUGAGUCGUUUUGGAGAUAUGAGCGAUUUUCAAAUUAUUAAGUACUAACGUAAUCAAAUACGAUAAUUUACAGAAGACAUUUGAUUUAUUUUUUACUUCUAGUAUUUUACAAAGAUGUUCCAUAUUACCACCGUCCAUUUCAAUGUAGAAGUAUAUCAUCGCAUGAAGGAAUUACGUACUCAUUUGAUAAGACCUAGUUGUAUUUUGAAGGUUUGACAGGAUAGUUCAAUCUGAUGUCGCAACUUUUUGAUGCCAGCUGUGAUUUUUUUAAUGAACCGACUGAAAACAUUUUAUUUGUAAGUUCAGUAAACAAGACAUCUGAAAAUAAAUUGAUUAUAUAUCAUAUUAUUAUGUUGUGCUAGUAGUAACUUAUUUUGAGAUCUAUAAUCAGUUUCCAGAAUAUUGAAACUGUUUUUUUACACCUGUUAUGUUUAUGAUAAUAAGACUCCAUCAUUGUUACCUUUUUCCAAUAACUUUAGUCUGCGUCAAUGUAAUUUGGCGAGGCGUUGUCAGACGAUUUCGAAGUUGCUCUCUCUCUCAGAGAAUUGUGGUGUAUCCUUCUAGGAACACUGACGGAAUCAUCAGUAAGGCAGCAAAGAUGUUUCACUAUACUACCAUUUUUGGAUCCAUUUCAUAUACUUCCUCAACUUGGUUUCUCUCGGCUUGUUAAGUAUAAUAUAUGAGUCAGAUAUGUAAUAUAUAUAUAUCGAUGGUGUAGCGCACAUAUGUGCUAAGUGCAUAAUACUUGUUCUCAGAAAAAUCACUUUUAAUGUUUGUCAUCAUCAAUUUAUUGAACUUAUGACUUCAGAACUUCAAGAGUGACAAUAUUGUUUCUAGAUAUUACUUACAUUACCUCCAAAAUAUGAAUAUAAAAAAUAAAUUCCGAAAAUAUAAAUUAUAUCUGAUUAUGCCCUACGCCAUCGAUAUAAUAUUUUUUCUGGAUACGUUAGAGUUUGAUGUACCUACUAGUUUGUUUUUGAAGUAUUACUCCAGUUCUGUUAGAGAAAACAAUCAAUGUUUGAUGUCCAAGCGUCAGUUGAAGAUUUAUUGUUAUACAACAAGAAAAACACGCACCUUGUUCUAUUUGUAGUCUUUAUUAAUGUAUGAGAAAUAACUGUGUGUGAAAUACACUGGACUCCUAAACAUUAAAUACUAUAUACAAUAUCGACUUACCCAACAAGGUUCAUAACAUGAUAGAGAGAUAUGUAAAAUGCCUAGAAGAUCAUGGCUAUAUUUCGCAGUUUCAUUUUUGAUUAUGUAAUGGAUUACAUUACUUACUACGUUCACAGUAUAUAAAAUACUGCUUAUCUUGUGCAAUGGAUCAACAAAAUAAAUUACUUCCGGAUUUGAAGGUUUUAAUGAUAAAGGAUGUUCAAAACAAUCUUAUUUUAGAAACUCCUUUCCUUAUUUAUAUACCUACUACUUUUCUGCCUUUGUUUCCAUCUUAUCACUCUAAUUCCACAUAUAUUCAAAGGGAAUCUGCAAACAAGGUGUCAUCUUAGGCUGAUUUCUCUUCUAGAAUUCUAUCAUGUACAUGUUUAGAUAGAAAUUAUCUUUAUUGAUAAUACUAAUUAGCUAUGGUUAUGGGGAUCCAGUUUCUUCAAAAUUCUUCUGGGGAUAUCGUCAUAUCCAGGUGUUGUUUUUCCGUGAUAUAGGGCUUUGUAAUAUUCUUCUUCCAUGAUUGGUUUCCUAUUUGUUUCUGCCUGUAUUUAAGAAGAGCUGAACUGAUACCAGUAUUCUAGGUUCAUGUUUAUAUAUUUUCAUUUUUAUCUGAUUGGAAUAUAUUCCAAAGGGGUCUUGAGGUUUGAUUUGAUAUUAUAGUACGAAAUAAAAGCUCUUUAUUAUUAUCAUAUGAUUCACACUAUUUUACAACUGAAUUUCAAAUUUAAAUUAGAUCGGAUUGUUAUUUUUUCAAUAAUGGCGAAAAUAAAAUUCCAUUUGGGUAUUUACUCUGAAUCCAUCAAAAAAUUAUAAAUAUUUCAAACCUCUAGUCUAGUGAAUUACUUUUGAGAGUUAUCUUCUACACAGUAGACAGAAUCGAUUUUGAUUUCAGUGAAUGAACGAACUCAAUCGUUGGGUACCACUUUUGGUUCAAAAUUCGAAAAUUAUGAAUAAUGUGCUUUUCUCUUUGGUCAAAUUCCUAAGAGUUCUCACAGAAGCCUAGAGGGGAAUAGGGAUAAAAAAAAUUGACUUUAAUAAGGUUAGACACUGUGUAUAAAUUAUAUAUAUACAUAUAUAUUAAUUUAAUAAAUAUAUUUUUUAUAAUAAAUACAUACAAUAAUUUAAUAAAACAUUCAUAAUU